AGAAUGAACGCUGGCGGCAUGCCUAACACAUGCAAGUCGAACGAAGCCUUCGGGUUUAGUGGCGCACGGGUGCGUAACGCGUGGGAAUCUACCCCUUGGUUCGGAAUAACAGUUGGAAACGACUGCUAAUACCGGAUGAUGACGUAAGUCCAAAGAUUUAUCGCCGAGGGAUGAGCCCGCGUAGGAUUAGGUAGUUGGUGUGGUAAAGGCGCACCAAGCCGACGAUCCUUAGCUGGUCUGAGAGGAUGAUCAGCCACACUGGGACUGAGACACGGCCCAGACUCCUACGGGAGGCAGCAGUGGGGAAUAUUGGACAAUGGGCGAAAGCCUGAUCCAGCAAUGCCGCGUGAGUGAUGAAGGCCUUAGGGUUGUAAAACUCUUUUACCCGGGAUGAUAAUGACAGUACCGGAGAAUAAGCUCCGGCUAACUCCGUGCCAGCAGCCGC
rnacentral:rRNA from 1 species